rnacentral:lncRNA from 1 species
ACAGGAAGAAAACUGAGGAUAAGCUAUUUCCAGUCCUGACAGAUUGUGGAGAAAAAAAAGAGAAAGUUAAGAAAAAGAGGAGAUGAAAGACAUGUUUAAACAUUGCUUUUCCAAGUUCAAGCCCUCAAGCAGGAAAAUGUGUGAUCAGAUCUUCUGAAGACCUACCACUUAUUUACUCACUCAAUCAGUAAGUGGUGAAUUUAAAUGCUGAAACAGUACUACUCAACAUACCUUCUGUGAGUCAACUGUUAUGAGCAACACCUGGAUCUCAUUAGAAAUGCAGAAUACGAGGUCCCAUCCAAGACUCAGUGAGUAAGAAUUUCCAGAGUUGAGCCCAGGACUGUCUACCUGCUUUAACAAGCCCUCCAACAGAAUCUCCAUGUACUAGAUUUCGAGAUGUGCUAGGCUGAAGUAUGUGCAUCCUUCAGAAAUCAAAAUCUUCUGGAUUCAUUUUACAUUUAAUCGUCCUUCACUAUUUCCCUUUAGUACUAUCUCUACUAGAAAGGUAAGUUUUUUAAUAAUUUUCCCUUUGCCAGAGAUUCCUACAAGCCCAAAUUUCUCCCACAGCCUUAGAAACACCUUUGUUAAUUCUUGGGUCUUCUCCAUCUAAUUUGUAUAAUUUUACGUCUGAUACUCUCCAUCCUUUCACACCAAAUUAGUCCCUAUGGUUCCAGCUUCCAAUGGGUGACCCACAUCUCUAAGAUCUGAUACCAUUUGCUCAUUUUGUCCUUGUUUUAGUUCUUUGCCAUGAAUGCUUAUCACUAGUUGCCACACUGUCCACUGUUCGGCUUAUCAAUUCUUGCAUCACCUGUAUAACUCAUUCCCUCCAUUAAACUCUGCCAUUUUAAAAUACUUCAUUAUUUUUCUUUUACAGUUUGAACACUUACUGAGGAAUGUGCUAAAUAACUUUUUUCUUCUAUCCUGUAUCUUUCCUCUUUACUUUCCCUCUUAUCUGUUCUAGCACUUUCAAAAAUCUGGACUUUGGGUUAAUUUUUUUCAUACUCUGAUUCUACCACUUUUUAUCUAUGUGACCUUGAACAAGUUACCAUCCAGAACCAGUUUCCGCAACCGUAAAAUAGGGAUAAAAUUAUCUACAUCUUAAAAAGCAAUGUAAGAAUAUAGUGGUUAAGCUUAGUGGGGUGCAUUUAGAGAAAACAGGCAGAACUCAAACCCUGCUUUCAUCCAUUUCUAGCCGUGUGAUUUAAGCAAGUAAUUUGAUAUGUGUCAGCCUCAGUUUCCUCCAUAAAAUGUGUAUAAUUAUUGUAAAACUCCCAUAGACUAUUUUGAGGACUAAAGGAGAUAACAGAUAUAAAACAUUUAGUAGGAUAUCUGGUACCUGCCAAAUACUCAAUACUUACUACUACCAUCACCAUCACCAUCAUUAUCAUAAUUAUCAUGGUAAUUAUAUACUAGAGAUCACAAUGAAGGUGGUACCCUCUUUCAUUUUCUCCUAAACUGUUUUCUCUCUCCCAUCUACUUCUUUUUAACCAUUUCUAUUUCUAUUCUUCUGAACUACUCAGAAAAAUUGUAACAAAGUUGGCUUACAUUUUUAAACUUAUCUAAUGAAGCUCUUUUCUACAUAAUUUUGAAAUCAGGCAAAACAAAAGAUAGUACAAUAUAUCCAUAAUGCCACUAUUCAUAGUCCAAAAUAGAUGCCUAUUAUAGUAGAAGGAGAAAUAACCUGUAAUAUAUUCACAUAGUAGAAUAUUAUACAGCAAUGAGAAUGAAUGCAUACAACUACAUGCAACAAUAUAAACAAAUCUCAGAAAUAUAAUGUUGAGCCAAAGCAACUAGAUAAAAGAGAGGACAUAGUGAAUGAUUCCAUUCACACAAAGUUAAAAAACAGGCAAACCAAUCUAUGAUGUGAGAAGUCAGAAUAAUGAUUAACCUUGGUGACUGGAAGACAGUAUACAGGAUGACCUCUGGGGAGCUGGUCAUCAUCUGUUCCUUGACCCAACUGCUUAUCACACAAGUGUACUCGCUUAGUGAGAACUCAUAUAUCUGACCGCUCAUAUCUGUACACAUUUAUCUAUAUAUGUUUUAACUCAACAGAGAAAAAAAGAGCAAGUGGACUAAUUAUUCUUUAAUAUUACCUCCAGAAAAAAUGCAACAACUUUAUAUUUAUGGCCAUAAAAUUAUUUUCCCUUUCAAUAUAGGAACUCUUUCAAUAGGAACAAAAUAUACUUCUCGUUGACUACAGGGCUACUGCUGAAUUUCUAUUUAAUUCUGUGGCAUGUGAAUGAAAUCAGUAACAAUUGUCAUUAAUUGCCUCUCACAGUUCUUAGGAAAAAUAAUAAUUGUGUAAAAUGAUUGGAGUAUGGCAAAAAAACAUUGAACUUCAAGAUGGCAAAAAGCAGUUUCUUGUCCCAGUUCUUUUGUUGUCCUAUUAAAUGCUUCAUGAGAACACUUGUGCUUGAGUUUAUCUGUAACGUAUUAAUGAUGAUAUCAUAUGACUACCUGUCUGGAGCUGUCAACAGAAACAAAUGAGGUGGUCCACGUACGAACUUUUUGAAAGGAACACACCUGCUAACAUUGUCACUAGUUGUUUAUCUUAUUAUCUAAUUCAAAUAUCACUUGCUCUUUAUGUUUUUAUAAACCUCCCAUCUCUCCUCCAAAGAGGAAUUAAUUUUUAUAUAUGUUCUCAGUAGAAUGGAUAACUUGUUAUAAUUCAUUUUAGGCCUUUUUUUGAUGCUUCUUGCAGAUAAACUCUGGCUUUUUCAUACUAACAGAUGCCUAACAAAGCACAGAAUGGGGCUUAAUAUAUGUUGUAUUGAGAUGAUCUCAGAUUUUCUUAAAUAACUUUUAAACACUUAACUGAUUUGCUACAUUUUUGUUAUUUGUACACACUCUGUGAUAUGUGAUUUUUAAAUUUAUGUAAACAUCAUCUAUACUUUCUUUACAGAAGGUAUGAAAUCGUGAAUACAUCACACCACCCAGAAAUCCCCCAUGGUGCGCUUUACAAUGCAACAGAACCUCAUAGUUCCCAUUGUAUACUCUUUCAAUUAUAAUAGAUGAAAUACUUGAAAAUGCUUGGUAGAAAUACCAUAGAAGUUAUAAUGACCUUUGCAACAAAAGGAGUAAAUCUAGUGGCAUUUUAGAGUUUUCUUAUAAUUGGAUGUUUUCUUUUUUUUUUUUUUUUUUUCUAUUUUGACCUUAGUUUCCCCAGUGUAUGCCAUUUUUAGGCUCCAAUAGUUCAGAGAAACUGCAAUUUCACUGAGACUUGACCUACAGAAUCAGAGAUUCAGGAUUCUAGUCACUUUGCUGAGAUGGAUCCAAGGUAUAGAAAGAAGUCAGAUGUCAGCCCAAAGGUCAGGCUGCAACAAAAGUGCUUACCUUGAAUGAUUUAGCUAUGAUAUGAGUUUACUCUGUAACAUAAGUAGCAUGGUUGGGCAGUGUUCAAGAACCUGGCUGUAUAAUGAAGAAAGGAGAAAAGACAGAAUUUAGCCCAAAUGUGAUGAAAGCCAAUUGACAUGAAGACAAUCAUCACGUUCAUCUUGGUCCAGUAAGAAUUUGAUAUUCACUCUGAUAGGAGAUUUGCAAUAUGACUCCAGUUAAGGUGGCAAUUUGAAACUCUCCUGCUUUGACUUCUGGAACUUGCUUCUGCCAAAUCAGUGGUGACUUUCAGGUAUAGGCCUAUGGCUGGAAACUAAAAUCAGAAGACUCCAACCUCCAGCUCUGAGAACCUACACUGAUAGCUCCAUCCAACUUCAACCACAAGUAGUGGGUCCAAAUCACAACACUCCAAUGAUGGAUUACACUGUCUCUGUCUUUUGCAGCACUUUGUUCAAAGAUAAAAGAUUCUCUGCAGUGGUGAUGAGGGCUAGUUCACUCAGCCCUUAGAUGCAGAUUCUGAGAGAUAGAGUACACAUAACUUUUAGAUAACAGGUGCUUUUAAAGAAAAUUUGAUUCUUUGAAAUUAAGUUAAGGUUUGUUUUAUAUAAUUUGCAGUCAAUUUUCAUAAAUCUCAUGUGUGUUUCAAAGAAAUGAGUAUUCUCUAUUUGUUGCCUUUAGGAAUCUAUGUAUCUUCAUUAUAUCAUGACUGUUAAUUGUUUUUCACAUGUUCUAUACCCUUCCUAAUGCUUUGUCUGCUUGAUCUAUCAAUUACCAGAAUAGGUAUUGCAGUCUGCCCCUCUGAAUUCAUAUCACAUGCAUAUAAAUUUUAAGUUACUAAACUUCCCUCCGUGAAAUCAAGCUCUUAUCAUUGUGUAGUUACCUUCUUUAUCUUGAAUAAUUAUUCUAAUUUAAGGUCGAUUUUCCCUGAUAAUAAUAUAAGUAAACCAACUUUCUUUUGGUUAGCAUUUGCCUGAUUUAUCUUAGUCCAUCUUUUUACUUUCUAUUUUCCUGUAACUUUCCUUAUAUUCCUUAGGUAUUCUGACCACGUGUGUCUUUUGGCUAAUGAAUUUAUUCCAUUUAUAAUUUAUUUAUGUUUCUUUAUAUGCAUUUAUAUGUAUAUAUAAUAUAUAUGUAUUUCUUCCAUAUAGUUAUUUACUUUUUGUUACUUUUUAUAUUCUGCUUUUGUUCUUUCAACUGUUUUUGUUUUUG